ACCAGCUGUCAGAGCCCAGCGAGGUGCG
rnacentral:piRNA from 1 species